UCGUGUGCUGUCCUGCACGUGGGGACGUUCGGGGCUGGGCUCGCAGCCUGGCCACUCUGGGGCAGACCCCAUUCCGGGAGGGAGGCGAGGCAGGCGGGGCUGGGGAGAGCGACGCCGGGUCGAGUUUAAGGGGCCAUCCCUUCCCGUCGGGUCAUUUCUGCCGUACCCACCGUCCGGUCCCGGGGAGGGAAGCUCCGGACCUCAGCGCACAACCGCCGCUCGGUCCGAAGAGAGGAGGGAACGGCAAGCAGGCGUCCCCUUAACCCGCCCGAAGACAGGCCUUCAGAGUCCAGCCUCGAUCCCCAAGAGAGAGGGAGACAGAACGAUCACCAGGAGAGGCAGAGAGUGCCCAGAAGUGGAGACCACUGAGCCAGGAAGAGGAGGAAGGGAGAAGAUAAACAAGGGAGAAGCCUUGAUGGCUGUCAUCAUCACCAUCAUCACGGCUUUCAUUUGGCUGCCUAAUGAGUCAGAUCACAGGCAGAGAGAAAAAUUGUCAAUCGCCCAGACUCUAAUGAAUUUUUUUGCAAAUUGUAAUCAAGCCAGGCCGUCUCAGCUGGCUGAUUAAUGAGACCCACGAGGCUUGGCCAGCACCUCAGCUUUUUAUUCCAUCCCGUCCUCCCUGCACUAAAUUAACAGCAACUUGUCUGAGCUUCAAAUUAACUCCCAAUGAUUAAUUCUGAUGGGGGGGCCUGAAGAAUAGCUCCGUCUAAUAGGCACUGGCCUGCGAGGCGGCUGGAAAUUAAUACACUUCCCCUUUGGCUGCCGGCUUUAAUCCAAGGUUGGGCUUUGACAUCACUAUAUUUGUUGUUACAAUAAAUUCCACUUACAUCUGCA